AAUGCAUGAAAACGAAAUAAAACUGUAUAAAUAAAUAAAUAUUUAUAUAUAUAUAUAUAUAUAAAUUUUUACCUGAAUUUUCCGAGAAAAAAACAUUCUUGGUAAUAGCUGAGAGAAAUCAUGGCUGAAAAGUAGGGUUAAGCAUAUCCUGCUCCUCCAGGAUAUGGAGGAUAUCAUGGGCCGCCGGUGAUGGCGCCUCCUCACUACAUUGGCUUCCCACCACCAAGAAGGGAACCUGGCUUUCUUGAGACCUGCCUCGCACUUUUAUGUUACUGUUGCCUGCUGGAUGCAUGUUGCUGGCCCUGCUGCGACUCCAUCUUCCUCAUGUAGCUCAUCCACGGUUCGCCCGAUUCAUCGCCCGUGUCAGUCAGGAGCUUCGGGCUUCAUAGUUUUUUAUGCAAUGGCUUAGCUGGUUUCUCCCACAUAGUGAACCCUACUCGCCUCCUCCUAUCUUCGGUAGGUUAUAAGCAGAUCGUCGUAUAUGUGUUUGAACUCGGGACAUUUGGUAAUGUGAUCUCAUAUCCGGUUGCCCCAUG